rnacentral:rRNA from 2 species
GUGGGUAGUUUGACUGGGGCGGUCUCCUCCUAAAGAGUAACGGAGGAGCACGAAGGUUGGCUAAUCCUGGUCGGACAUCAGGAGGUUAGUGCAAUGGCAUAAGCCAGCUUGACUGCGAGCGUGACGGCGCGAGCAGGUGCGAAAGCAGGUCAUAGUGAUCCGGUGGUUCUGAAUGGAAGGGCCAUCGCUCAACGGAUAAAAGGUACUCCGGGGAUAACAGGCUGAUACCGCCCAAGAGUUCAUAUCGACGGCGGUGUUUGGCACCUCGAUGUCGGCUCAUCACAUCCUGGGGCUGAAGUAGGUCCCAAGGGUAUGGCUGUUCGCCAUUUAAAGUGGUACGCGAGCUGGGUUUAGAACGUCGUGAGACAGUUCGGUCCCUAUCUGCCGUGGGCGCUGGAGAACUGAGGGGGGCUGCUCCUAGUACGAGAGGACCGGAGUGGACGCAUCACUGGUGUUCGGGUUGUCAUGCCAAUGGCACUGCCCGGUAGCUAAAUGCGGAAGAGAUAAGUGCUGAAAGCAUCUAAGUACGAAACUUGCCCCGAGAUGAGUUCUCCCUGAGACUUUAGGUCUCCUGAAGGAACGUUGAAGACGACGACGUUGAUAGGCCGGGUGUGUAAGCGCAGCGAUGCGUUGAGCUAACCGGUACUAAUGAACCGUGAGGCUUAACCUUACAACGCCGAAG